rnacentral:rRNA from 1 species
AGUGAACGCUGGCGGUAGGCCUAACACAUGCAAGUCGAACGGCAGCACAGGAGAGCUUGCUCUCUGGGUGGCGAGUGGCGGACGGGUGAGGAAUACAUCGGAAUCUACUUUUUCGUGGGGGAUAACGUAGGGAAACUUACGCUAAUACCGCAUACGACCUACGGGUGAAAGCAGGGGAUCUUCGGACCUUGCGCGAUUGAAUGAGCCGAUGUCGGAGUAGCUAGUUGGCGGGGUAAAGGCCCACCAAGGCGAAGAUCCGUAACUGGUAUGCAGGGAUGAUCAGCGACACUGGAACUUAGAUACCGGCCAGACUCCCACGGGAGGCAGCAGUGGAGAAUAUUGGACAAUGGCUGCUAGGCUGAUCCAGCCAGACCGCGUGAGUGAAGAAGGCCUUCGGGUUGUAAAGCCCUUUUGUUGGGAAAGAAAUCCAGCUGGUUAAUACCCGGUUGGGAUGACGGUACCCAAAGAAUAAGCACCGGCUAACUUCGUGCCAGCCGCCGCAGUAA